CAUAUCAAUAAGCGGAGGAAAAGAAACUAACAAGGAUUCCCCUAGUAACGGCGAGUGAAGCGGGAAGAGCUCAAAUUUGAAAUCUGGUAGCCUUCGGUUGCCCGAGUUGUAAUCUAGAGAAAUGUUUUCCGUGCCGGCCCAUGUACAAGUCCCUUGGAACAGGGCGUCAUAGAGGGUGAGAAUCCCGUCCUUGACAUGGACCCCCGGUGCUUUGUGAUACAUUUUCAACGAGUCGAGUUGUUUGGGAAUGCAGCUCAAAAUGGGUGGUGAAUUCCAUCUAAAGCUAAAUAUUGGCGAGAGACCGAUAGCGAACAAGUACCGUGAGGGAAAGAUGAAAAGCACUUUGGAAAGAGAGUUAAACAGUACGUGAAAUUGUUGAAAGGGAAACGAUUGAAGUCAGUCAUGCUCUUUGGUAUUUAUAUCAUUGAGUGGGGUCAACAUCAGUUUUGAUCGAUGGAUAAAGGCACUAGGAAUGUAGCACUCUCGGGUGAACUUAUAGCCUAGCGUCAUAUACAUUAUUAGGACUGAGGAACGCAGCAUGCCUUUAUGGCCGGGAUUCGUCCACGUACGGAUGUGACAUA
rnacentral:rRNA from 1 species